UGAGGCUCAACCGACGAAGCCACCCGGGCGCCCCCAAGUGUCCGUCCGCCUCUUGAUCUCAGCUCAGAUCUUGAUCUUGGGGUUGUGAGUUCAAGCCCCACGUUGGGCUCCGCGCUUGGCGUGGAGGAGCCCCCUGAACCAACUUCCACUGAAGAGAUGAGGCCUGGAAGUGCCCUCUGAAGGGCAGUGCCUGACUCCAAGGAGCACCUCCAACGGGGUGAUGGCAGAAACCGUGCCUGCCAAGCCGCGGAGGUAAUGCUGAUGCUGCCGGUCCAGAGACACCACUUUGAGAAUCACUUGGUAGAUAUGAAUAUGCCUAGCUUCACUUUCCUUUGGAGCCUGUUUUUGAUUGACCACCUUUGUCCAGCAGUAUACCAAGCAAGUCCCACUCCAAAGCUCAGGGGCUGGAAUUUCCCAGCAGCCUGUGUAGGAAGAGACCCUCAGAAAUAACUACAGGACCUGCCACCUUGCCAGUGCCCCCAGUUGACAGGACCACCGGUGGACCUCCAGGAUAAGAUCUGACCCAGGAGGGAAAAAGUGAAAAUGUGAAAAGUCCUAUAUAUAGCACUGGAAGUAAACAGGUAUGAUUAUUGGUUGAUUUGUAUGUCAGCUUGGAUUUCAGUUCACAGAAUGUCUUCCCGACUCACCGUCUAGCAUUUAUUUCAAGAGCGUGGAUAGAGGCGUUUUAAAUCGGUUCCCUCACCACUAGGCAGAACCUGAGAGAGACUCGGUGCGGGGCAGGUUGCAAUCGGCCCCUGCAAGUCCUUGAAGGCUCUUAAUUUGGUUCGGGAGACAAGUGCACUAUAA